rnacentral:misc_RNA from 1 species
UUAAUAUAUUUUAAAAUUUGCGGCGGAUGGCCUUCUCAGACAACUGAUUUGUUCAAAAGUUUGAUAUUGGACCCUUCCCCAGACACCUCAACCCGAAAUGCCAUGAAGGGCAGGGCUGGCAGCAGUGGCCACUGAUCUGGGGAAGCAACAUGGGAGUGUACACAUGGAUGUGUUUGGCUUGGGAGUCCGAUUGGACAUCCCAGACAUAUGUAAUGAUCCUUCCGCAGGUUCACCUACGGAAA